CUACGGGAGGCAGCAGUGGGGAAUCUUAGACAAUGGGGGCAACCCUGAUCUAGCCAUGCCGCGUGAGUGACGAAGGCCCUAGGGUCGUAAAGCUCUUUCGCCAGGGAAGAUAAUGACGGUACCUGGUAAAGAAACCCCGGCUAACUCCGUGCCAGCAGCCGCGGUAAUACGGAGGGGGUUAGCGUUGUUCGGAAUUACUGGGCGUAAAGCGCGCGUAGGCGGACUUUUAAGUUAGAGGUGAAAUCCCAGGGCUCAACCCUGGAACUGCCUUUAAUACUGGAAGUCUUGAGUUCGAGAGAGGUGAGUGGAAUUCCGAGUGUAGAGGUGAAAUUCGUAGAUAUUCGGAGGAACACCAGUGGCGAAGGCGGCUCACUGGCUCGAUACUGACGCUGAGGUGCGAAAGUGUGGGGAGCAAACAGGAUUAGAUACCCUGGUAGUCCACACCGUAAACGAUGAAUGCCAGACGUCGGCAGGCAUGCCUGUCGGUGUCACACCUAACGGAUUAAGCAUUCCGCCUGGGGAGUACGGUCGCAAGGUUAAAACUCAAAU
rnacentral:rRNA from 1 species